UCACGCUCGUCCCUUCCACAUCGCUGCCGCCACCUCCUCCCUUCCAGAUCGCGGCCGCCACCUCCCUCCCGCGGAGCUCCCCGCCGUCCAUGGCCUCCCCCCACGCCCUCCUCUCUCCCUUCCCCUCCCUCGCGCCGCCACCACUACCACCGCGGCCAUAGAGGAGUAUGAGGCACCUCCGCUCAGGCUCCUCCGACCAUAUAAGCGGGCUAGUGCUCCCCCCUCUCGCCUUCGUCUUCUUCCCUCGCCGUCCGCUGCCAUCGGGAUCUGCCGACGGAAUGGAGGCGGUAGACAACACCAGUUCUGUGCAGGCGGCGAUUCAAUGGCUGCAUCAGACCAUCCUUCCGAGCCUCGGCAAGCUGGACGGGUGGAUUGGCCAAGCAGGGCCCUCCGGCGAGGUGGAGGGGCUGAGGGACGAGAUCGAGCAAGUCAACAGGGUCGUCUCUGCCGUGAACAACAGGGCGGCCCGAAACAGGUCGGUGGCCAGAUCCCUCGCAGCCCUCAAGCAACUGCUCUACCACGCCGACGACACGGUCGACUAGCUCGACUGCUACAGGCUUCAGCAGGAGCUCCACGCCCACGGAGUGUAGGCCCAUGGCAUUGGCACCAUCCCAAUGAAAUUGAUGGACCAAGUAACCAGCUGCCAAGUUCUUCAAGUUCAUCCAGAAUAAAAAGGAGAAGGGGCAACAUGGAGAAAGACGCGGUGCUGGUGUGCAUGGUCCUGGGCUUUCUGGGCUCCGUCGCGGUCACCCUCGGCUUCGUCGCCAACAACUACAGCUCCAAGUCCGUGCAGUACAACGGGACGAACUGCGUGUACCGGAGCCCGCCGGCGACGGGUCUCGGCAUCCUGGGGGUGUUCCUGGUGUUCAUCAACCAGGUCAUCGUCGCCGCCUACGCCAGCGGCUGGUGCCUCUGCCUGUGUUGCUGCUGCCCCUGCUGGACCAAGCACCGCCGGCUGGCGCCAACACCGUCCAAGUGGAACCCAGUAUAGACGUAAAGAGCCAUGUGAGCCCUCCUGGAUGGGGCUUCGGUUGGACCUCUGAUUAAGCUCCCCAUAGACUUUGACCCAAGCAUCCGCGUGACAGGGUUUGUCGGAACCGCCAUCGCUUUAGGGUGCUUCUCCGGCGCCGCCAUCAUCACCAAGCGCAGGGAGUACCUGUACCUCGGUGGCCUGACCUCUUCUGGCAUGUCGAUCCUUCGACAUGAAACUAUAUGCUCGGUUUCUUCUCUUCCUUUUGGUGCGCAUGCCAUUAUUGCAUGGUGACCAUGUAGGUAAAGCUUGCAAGUCGAUGGCAGUUAGAUUUGGCGACUGGAAAGAAGCACACACCUAGGUCGAUCUAUCUGCUGGUCUCUGUGAGCAUUUUUCUUCUAGUGUGGUCCAGGCCAAUGGAAGCAUGCAUACAUUUAUAUUUACUGGAAAUGCAUGCAUUUCUUUACACACAUGAAAAACAAAAGUCGUUGCUGCUGCUAGGAUAGGACAUAGCAGUAGCUUGCUGGCUAGCUAGUGUAUGUUGAAUUACUGAUCAACUCGCCUUUGGGCUGGCUGCUAGUACACCUACGUAUAGCUACCUAGGUAGGAGUAGCUAUGUGGCGCAUGCAGUGGAUUAUUAAAAUAUUACAAUCUCUUGAUCAGCAAUGAAAAGCAUCAAGAUGCAGCUUUAUACUGGCAUGCACACGUUGAAUCUGUUGAUUUGGAGUAGUUAAUGUUGCUGAUAUUAUAUGUUGUACUGUUGCUAAUCGGAUCUACUGUUGCUAUUGCAGUAAUGUUGGAUGAGCUACUGCUGCUCACUACAGGAUCUGGUUAUCAACCUGAGAUGUUGCUGCUCAAGUCAUGGCGACGACCAGGGAUGCUCUGCUGAGUUGAUCCAACCUGGGAUGAUGCUGAUGAUCUGCUGCUCAACAAGGUGAUGCUGCUUCGUUCAGCCUCUACGAACAUUUACAAGAGCUCUAGCCUGGAAGAAGUCAGAAGUAUAUUUGCAGUAUCAUAGUAUCUUGGUGAAAUGAAUGAUGUAAAGAUUGUGCUAUUACAAGAGCUCUAACCUGGGACAACCUGAGAAGUAUAUUUGUAGUAUUUUGGCUAAUUGGCAUGUGUUUUGAUAA